AUUCACUUCACAAGUCCAUGAAGAACAAGGAAGAACAAAGGUUGAGUAAGGCACUCAGCAGCGUGGCUGCAAUAUCAUGUAGUUUAUCAAAAUGAUCAAAGGUUGCUAAUAGCUUAGAGGUAGGGGAUAUUUAUACUAGGAACAACUCCCCUAGAUAGGUAUGAAAACGAAAUAGAGUUUCUGAUGGAAGUCAAUGUGAAAGGUCCCCUCGCAAUGGAUUCCCGAACUAGUUUCGCGUGACUGUUGGCCUCCAGAGCAGUUUCCAAUAAAGUGACCAUAACUUCUUAUUGGGAAGUCCAAAUGAUGAACCGUUUCUUGGGUGUGAAACUAGACUCCAAGAGCGUUCCAGCAAUGUAUGCCAUGCACCACGAAAUGUUGUAGAUUGGUACAGUUUUGCAUGGCAAGUUGUACCAACAUUUUGUCAUGACAGACUGUUGAUCUUCUGAGCAGUCUUGACUAAUCCAAGCAUAACUCUUGAUUUGCGACGUCCAAAUGAGAUGAGACUUGAGGCAUUAGAAAGCAGACUUGAUGAGCUUUCAAAAAUGUCCUCAUAGGCCUUCAUAGCUACGUGAGUAAAAAGUGAUGAAGAUUUCUUUGCACUGGUCCGUUCUUGACUUCCACUGGUCCGUUUUUGACUCUCUGGUCCAUUUUGUAGUGUCUUCUGGGACUGGCGCUGGUUUGUUGUAGCUUCUUUGCACGACUACGUGUAACCGGUCCAUCGAUGACUUGGGCUGGUGUUGGUGUAGGUAAAACUUGAGUGGUUGUAACUUAACUUGGAGCUUGUAACAUCUUGCUUGCUUGCAUGGUUAUAUCAUCCUUCUCCUCAUGAAAAGGAGUCGUCCUCGACUCUAACUCUUCUCAUCCAAAGAGUUGUGCUAGGCCAUCGGUUUGUAAUGUUUUGAUAACAUCGUAAUCUUUUUGUUCCAUGUUAGCAAGGUGUUUGAAUCUAUAAUCAUAUAAACCAAGUAGUAGCCUUGUAUGUGGAAACCUAAAUGAUUUGGAGUUAAGUUUAGCUUUCACCUUGAGUGGAAGCUUGAAUGUUGAUUGCCUUAGUAUGGUCUCAUCAUCCUCCCUCCCUUCAAGAAAAGUCGUCCACGACUUUU
rnacentral:lncRNA from 1 species